UCCCCAAUAGCUAGCCCAACCAGGAAGGCCAACAACCACCAUCAACUAACCCAUUAAAGCACCCACACAAACCAAAACAAACCAUUUUUCCCCCUAAGUAUUGGGAGACAGAAAAG
rnacentral:rRNA from 1 species